AAACAAGUGUCAUCACCACAUCUUACAGCUCGGGAAGCCUCGGCUCUGAGAGGCCAGACUCCAGCCACGCCAUCCAGACCACGGGGCCACGGGGCCACGGGGCCAGCUGAGCCCGCAGUCACUCUCCUCCUCUGCUCCUCCGCCUCUAAAAGGUCCUUUUCAGACGCUCAGGCACUCGCAGGCGCCCCUCUUUCAUCAUGGUUAGGCGCCACAUGCUUUUCAUCUCCAAGUCUGGCUACUGCAGAUGCAGAAUGAAAAACGAGCCAAUAACACAGCAAACCCGGGCAACUCGGCACGAAAGGCAAUAACCGUGGUGAGGGGCCAGGCGGCGAUUCCAGCCAGACAGAUGAGCGGGCGUCACGGGCUCCAGAUGCACAGAAGACCGGGUUUCCACCACCCUGAGCCAAGGAGGCCUCUACCAUGGAGAGAGGCCAUCAGAGACCAGUGUCCGGCAGCGCCCUGCCUGGCCCCAGAGCCUGGGGCAAAAGGGAACGUCAGGACCACCGACCCUUUUCCUCCAAAACUUCAAUAUUUCCUUCCUCAUAGAUAUCUUGCAUUCAUUUUGCAUUAACUUUAUUUAAAACAUUGCAUUAAAACAUCAUUUCUGCCUCUCUCCUCACACUGG
rnacentral:lncRNA from 1 species